GACGAACGCUGGCGGCGUGCUUAACACAUGCAAGUCGAACGAAGUGGCGAACGGGUGAGUAACGCGUAAUCAACCUGCCCUUCAGAGGGGGACAACAGUUGGAAACGACUGCUAAUACCGCAUACUGAAGGAGGGGAUUGCGUCGGAUUAGCUAGUUGGCGGGGGAACGGCCCACCAAGGCGAUGAUCAGUAGCCGGGUUGAGGAGAUGAACGGCCACAUUUGGACUGUUGCACGGCCCAGGCUCCUACGGGAGGCAGCCGUGGGGAAUCUUCCGCAAGUGACGAAAGUCUGACGGAGCAACGCCGCGUGAGGGAUGACGGCCUUCGGGUUGUAAAGCUCUGUUAAUCGGGACGCGGUACCGGAAUAGAAAGCCACGGCUAACUACGUGCCAGCAGCCGCGGUAAUAC
rnacentral:rRNA from 1 species